GGGACUGUAUACUUUCAGGGAUCAUUUCUAGAGUUUCUGACUUGAGGAAUGUGUUUCUAAAGUGUUUGGUUUUGCUGACCACGAUGAUGAGUCGUGAUAUUCCUUUCUGAGCAUGAAGCUGACAGAGAGUAAUGAUUCACUUCAUAUGCUCUCUGUCAUUGAUGAUCGUUCUUUGUGGAGCAUUGAGAAAGGGAAUAUGAUCAGAGUGGU